rfam:Pseudomonadales bacterium GWC1_66_9 gwc1_scaffold_11621, whole genome shotgun sequence.
UUCGGCUCUCGCAGCGAAUUUACCGCUGUCCUCCGUCAGUCGUCGCCGACGCACCCCUUUAGAAUAAGUACAGCGAUCCGAUCGCCUUCCCUGCGGCGCGGC